ACCGAUGUGGAGAGAUUUGCCUGCUUGCAACCACGUUAAAAAAUGCUAAAAUGUUGACA
rfam:Bacteroides sp. CAG:709 genomic scaffold, scf46